rnacentral:lncRNA from 1 species
GACAUUCUGAAAGUUGAUCUGAAGGUUUUGUGACUAGAUCAUGUGACCAGUCACAUGACAUGCCCUUAAAAGGAAAGGCGUAGAAACAGGUGAAAGAAGAACCAGGAAGUAAACAGUGGUGGCGUUCGGACCGUCGCCUGGACAGAGAGCAUUUUUAGUAUAUAAGUACCGGUUUUGGUUCCUGUAGACUGAAAUGUGUGGAGUUUUGAUCUAGGUUACAUAAUGGCGGACACCAGGCUCUGACGUUAACCAGAAUGUCAGCACAACAGCAGAGACUGUUCAGGCACCUGGAGAAGGUCUUCAUAUGCCACAGUCUCUCUUUUCUAUCUGCUCUAGGUGAACACAUUCAGGUUACAAGUAAAGUCCUUCCUUCCUCUUUAAGUAUCUCAUCAAUCAAUUACAUUUUAGUCAUAAAUUCCAAGCAAGCAAAGCAGGCAAAUCCAGCAACACAAUACACAGAAAAGAAAGAAAGUUUGAAGUGAAAUCACAACUCCUGAGUUCUUUUUAUAUAUAAUCCUAUCAAUAAUAUUUUAUGUAUGUAUAUGUGGCUCAUGAUAAUGUAAUUUAUAUACUAAUGCAUCAUGUAUUCUUCCUAAUUAACAGGUUAAUGUGGCUUUUUUAGAAUUUUAAUUUUAUUUGAUUUGAUUUCAGGUAAAUAACAUGUGCAAUCUUUAUAUCUGACAA